CCUACGGGCGGCAGCAGUAGGGAAUCUUCCACAAUGGACGCAAGUCUGAUGGAGCAACGCCGCGUGAGUGAAGAAGGUUUUCGGGUCGUAAAGCUCUGUUGUUGGUGAAGAAGGAUAGAGGUAGUAACUGGCCUUUAUUUGACGGUAAUCAACCAGAAAGUCCCGGCUAACUACGUGCCAGCAGCCGCGGUAAUACGUAGGUGGCAAGCGUUGUCCGGAUUGAUUGGGCGUAAAGCGAGCGCAGGCGGAAGCAUAAGUCUGAUGUGAAAGCCCUCGGCUUAACCGGGGAACUGCAUCGGAAACUGUGUUUCUUGAGUGCAGAAGGGGGGAGUGGAAUUCCAUGUGUAGCGGUGGAAUGCGUAGAUAUAUGGAAGAACACCAGUGGCGAAGGCGGCUCCCUGGUCUGCCACUGACGCUGAGGCUCGAAAGCAUGGGUAGCGAACAGGAUUAGAUACCCUGGUAGUC
rnacentral:rRNA from 1 species